rnacentral:rRNA from 2 species
UGGCGGCGUGCCUAAUACAUGCAAGUAGAACGCUGAAGAGAGGAGCUUGCUCUUCUUGGAUGAGUUGCGAACGGGUGAGUAACGCGUAGGUAACCUGCCUUGUAGCGGGGGAUAACUAUUGGAAACGAUAGCUAAUACCGCAUAACAAUGGAUGACACAUGUCAUUUAUUUGAAAGGGGCAAUUGCUCCACUACAAGAUGGACCUGCGUUGUAUUAGCUAGUAGGUGAGGUAAUGGCUCACCUAGGCGACGAUACAUAGCCGACCUGAGAGGGUGAUCGGCCACACUGGGACUGAGACACGGCCCAGACUCCUACGGGAGGCAGCAGUAGGGAAUCUUCGGCAAUGGGGGCAACCCUGACCGAGCAACGCCGCGUGAGUGAAGAAGGUUUUCGGAUCGUAAAGCUCUGUUGUAAGUCAAGAACGGGUGUGAGAGUGGAAAGUUCACACUGUGACGGUAGCUUACCAGAAAGGGACGGCUAACUACGUGCCAGCAGCCGCGGUAAUACGUAGGUCCCGAGCGUUGUCCGGAUUUAUUGGGCGUAAAGCGAGCGCAGGCGGUUUGAUAAGUCUGAAGUUAAAGGCUGUGGCUCAACCAUAGUUCGCUUUGGAAACUGUCAAACUUGAGUGCAGAAGGGGAGAGUGGAAUUCCAUGUGUAGCGGUGAAAUGCGUAGAUAUAUGGAGGAACACCGGUGGCGAAAGCGGCUCUCUGGUCUGUAACUGACGCUGAGGCUCGAAAGCGUGGGGAGCGAACAGGAUUAGAUACCCUGGUAGUCCACGCCGUAAACGAUGAGUGCUAGGUGUUGGAUCCUUUCCGGGAUUCAGUGCCGCAGCUAACGCAUUAAGCACUCCGCCUGGGGAGUACGACCGCAAGGUUGAAACUCAAAGGAAUUGACGGGGGCCCGCACAAGCGGUGGAGCAUGUGGUUUAAUUCGAAGCAACGCGAAGAACCUUACCAGGUCUUGACAUCCCGAUGCUAUUUCUAGAGAUAGAAAGUUACUUCGGUACAUCGGUGACAGGUGGUGCAUGGUUGUCGUCAGCUCGUGUCGUGAGAUGUUGGGUUAAGUCCCGCAACGAGCGCAACCCCUAUUGUUAGUUGCCAUCAUUCAGUUGGGCACUCUAGCGAGACUGCCGGUAAUAAACCGGAGGAAGGUGGGGAUGACGUCAAAUCAUCAUGCCCCUUAUGACCUGGGCUACACACGUGCUACAAUGGUUGGUACAACGAGUUGCGAGUCGGUGACGGCGAGCUAAUCUCUUAAAGCCAAUCUCAGUUCGGAUUGUAGGCUGCAACUCGCCUACAUGAAGUCGGAAUCGCUAGUAAUCGCGGAUCAGCACGCCGCGGUGAAUACGUUCCCGGGCCUUGUACACACCGCCCGUCACACCACGAGAGUUUGUAACACCCGAAGUCGGUGAGGUAACCUUUUGGAGCCAGCCGCCUAAGGUGGGACAGAUGAUUGGGGUGAA